rnacentral:rRNA from 1 species
UACAGAGGGUGCAAGCGUUGUUCGGAAUUACUGGGCGUAAAGCGCGUGUAGGCGGCUAUGUAAGUCGGGCGUGAAAUCCCACGGCUCAACCGUGGAAGUGCACCCGAAACUGCGUAGCUAGAGUCCUGGAGAGGAAGGUGGAAUGCUUGGUGUAGAGGUGAAAUUCGUAGAUAUCAAGCGGAACACCGGUGGCGAAGGCGGCCUUCUGGACAGUGACUGACGCUGAGACGCGAAAGCGUGGGGAGCAAACAGG